rnacentral:rRNA from 1 species
GACGAACGCUGGCGGCGUGCCUAAUACAUGCAAGUCGAGCGCAGGAAGCUGACGGAACUCUUCGGAGGGAAGGCAGUGGAAUGAGCGGCGGACGGGUGAGUAACACGUAAGGAACCUGCCUCAAGGAUUGGGAUAACUCCGAGAAAUCGGAGCUAUACCGGAUAGUUCAACGGACUGCAUGGUUCGCUGAUGAAAGGCACUCCGGCGUCACCUUGAGAUGGCCUUGCGGUGCAUUAGCUAGUUGGUGGGGUAACGGCCCACCAAGGCGACGAUGCAUAGCCGACCUGAGAGGGUGAUCGGCCACACUGGGACUGAGACACGGCCCAGACUCCUACGGGAGGCAGCAGUAGGGAAUCUUCCACAAUGGACGAAAGUCUGAUGGAGCAACGCCGCGUGAGUGAUGAAGGUUUUCGGAUCGUAAAACUCUGUUGUAAGGGAAGAACACGUACGAGAGGAAAUGCUCGUACCUUGACGGUACCUUACGAGAAAGCCACGGCUAACUACGUGCCAGCAGCCGCCGUAAGAC